AGAGUUUGAUCCUGGCUCAGAUUGAACGCUGGCGGCAGGCCUAAUACAUGCAAGUCGAACGGUAACAUAAGAAAAGCUUGCUUUUCUUGAUGACGAGUGGCGGACGGGUGAGUAAGAUUUGGGAAACUACCUGAUAGAGGGGGACAACAGUUGGAAACGACUGCUAAUACCGCAUACAGCCUUAGGGUGAAAGAAGCGAUUCGCUAUCAGAUGUGCCCAAACGGGAUUAGCUAGUAGGUGAGGUAAAGGCUCACCUAGGCGACGAUCUCUAGCUGGUCUGAGAGGAUGAUCAGCCGCAUUGGGACUGAGACACGGCCCAGACUCCUACGGGAGGCAGCAGUAGGGAAUAUUGCACAAUGGAGGAAACUCUGAUGCAGCCAUGCCGCGUGUGUGGAGAAGGCCUUCGGGUUGUAAAGCACUUUCGGAGGGGAGGAAAAAAAUGACGUUACCCUCAGAAGAAGCACCGGCUAACUCCGUGCCAGCAGCCGCGGUAAUACGGAGGGUGCAAGCGUUAAUCGGAAUAACUGGGCGUAAAGGGCAUGCAGGCGGUUCAUCAAGUAGGAUGUGAAAUCCCCGGGCUCAACCUGGGAACAGCAUACUAAACUGGUGGACUAGAGUAUUGCAGGGGGAGACGGAAUUCCAGGUGUAGCGGUGGAAUGCGUAGAUAUCUGGAAGAACACCAAAGGCGAAGGCAGUCUCCUGGGCAAAUACUGACGCUCAUAUGCGAAAGCGUGGGUAGCAAACAGGAUUAGAUACCCUGGUAGUCCACACUGUAAACGAUGAUUACUAGGUGUGGGGGGUCUGACCCCCUCCGUGCCGGAGUUAACGCAAUAAGUAAUCCACCUGGGGAGUACGACCGCAAGGUUGAAACUCAAAGGAAUUGACGGGGGCCCGCACAAGCGGAGGAACAUGUGGUUUAAUUCGAUGAUACGCGAGGAACCUUACCCGGGCUCGAACGGCUGGUGAAGAGAUCCAGAGAUGGUGACGUCCUUCGGGACACCAGUCGAGGUGCUGCAUGGUUGUCGUCAGCUCGUGCCGUGAGGUGUCGGCUCAAGUGCCAUAACGAGCGCAACCCUUGCCGUCAGUUACCAUCAAGUAAUGUUGGGGACUCUGGCGGGACUGCCACCGCAAGGUGUGAGGAAGGGGGGGAUGACGUCAAAUCAGCACGGCCCUUACGUCCGGGGCGACACACGUGUUACAAUGGCGGCCACAGAGGGGCACUACCUGGCGACAGGAUGGGAAUCUCGAAAAGCCGUCUCAGUCCGGAUCGGAGUCUGCAACCCGACUCCGUGAAGCUGGAUUCGCUAGUAAUCGCGCAUCAGCCAUGGCGCGGUGAAUACGUUCCCGGGCCUUGUACACACCGCCCGUCAAGCCAUGAAAGUCUGGGGCGCCUGAAGUCCGUGACCGAAAGGAGCGGCCUAGGGCGAAACAGGUAAUUGGGGCUAAGUCGUAACAAGGUAGCCGUACCGGAAGGUGUGGCUGGAACACCUCCUU
rnacentral:rRNA from 1 species